rnacentral:lncRNA from 1 species
AGAAUUUUUGUGUCUGUUCUCCACCCCACCCCAGGCUAGCUGAUUAAAGGUAUUGUACCCACAGUGGAGUUUGUUUGUUCGUUUAUUUAUUUAUUUUAUUAUUAGACUUUUACCCUGCCCCCCUAGACAAUGUCUACUCGGGGUGGCUUACGUGGAUAAAAAACACAACAAUAUGACAAAUAUAAAAAUCAUCUAAGACACAGUUUUAGCACUUAUUUCUAAACAGCAUAUUACCAAGAUGACAUAACUCAAGGAAGAAAAAUGAGGAUCAAUUAAGUGACUGGAGGGAAGGCCUGCCCGAAGAGCCAAGUUUUUAGGUUUUGGACUUUAUUUCAUUGGCUCCUUUUAGGGAGAAAGGUGGGGUAAAAAUAUUUGAAAUAAAUCAAUAUUAAAAGGUUUGAGAAGAAGCACAUAGACCACUUCCAUUUUCUUUCAUAUUCUCUGGAGUUAUUUUCCCUCCUCACUUUAUUCUGUUUUUCUGUCACUCAGGUAGAAACUGGUUGCCAUGUUUCAAAAGGGCAAUCUCUUUUCUCCGAUCAUCUAGAAAGACUGUGAACUCUUGGAUCCUGGCCCUUUUGAAAAUCUUGCUAGGAACAUCCGGAGACAGUUCUUUUUUCUGCCUCACUUCUUUCCUUUCAGUGUUACAGAUGCAGAGAGGAACCAGCUGACAUCUCAGAGACAAAGGUCACCAGCAUUGGGGAAGAAGAGAAAAUGCCUAGAAAGGAUUGCAUCGAAAGGACUACGAACAGCACUGAAGUGGCAUUUCAAAUGACAGUGGGGAAAUGCAGAUAGAAGGGCAGUGCCAUGCAGAGAUGAUGUGCCUCAAUUAUCCCGUAAGUUCCAUGAGGCAAAAUAUGUGGGUUGCAAUCCAGAUCCUGUCUGGAUUGAUGUAGAGAAGACCCUGUCCUUUAGAGGAAACAAUGGGGUGGGUGGGCAUGAUCAGUCCAUCAUCCAAGCAGCCUCUUUGUUUUCUCCCACAUAAGCAGAGGUACUUUUUUGUAUCAGAACUCCCAAGAAACCCCAGCUAGUGCAGCCAGUGGCCAUCACCAUAGCUCAGUGGAUAAUCCAGGUGUUCUUGGACUGCAGGUCCCAGAAGCCUUGACCACCAGCUGUGCUGGCCAAAGUUUUGGGGAGUUGCUAUCC